rnacentral:tRNA from 2 species
UCUUUGAUGGUCUAGUGGUUAUGAUUUCCGCUUGUCACGCGGGAGACCGGGGUUCGAUUCGUGAGUAAA